rnacentral:rRNA from 1 species
AUUGAACGCUGGCGGCAGGCCUAACACAUGCAAGUCGAGCGGAUGAAGGGAGCUUGCUCCUGGAUUCAGCGGCGGACGGGUGAGUAAUGCCUAGGAAUCUGCCUGGUAGUGGGGGAUAACGUCCGGAAACGGGCGCUAAUACCGCAUACGUCCUGAGGGAGAAAGUGGGGGAUCUUCGGACCUCACGCUAUCAGAUGAGCCUAGGUCGGAUUAGCUAGUUGGUGGGGUAAAGGCCUACCAAGGCGACGAUCCGUAACUGGUCUGAGAGGAUGAUCAGUCAGACUGGAACUGAGACACGGCCCAGACUCCUACGGGAGGCAGCAGUGGGGAAUAUUGGACAAGGGGCGAAAGCCUGAUCCAGCCAUGCCGCGUGUGUGAAGAAGGUCUUCGGAUUGUAAAGCACUUUAAGUUGGGAGGAAGGGCAGUAAGUUAAUACCUUGCUGUUUUGACGUUACCAACAGAAUAAGCACCGGCUAACUUCGUG